GCCACCGCCUAGCCCACACAGCCUGCCCAAAACCACCACCACCACAUUAACCAAACCAUUUGCCACGCCAAGUAUAUGAGAUAGAACCGCACCCAGGAGCAAUAGCCAACAGUACCGCAAGGGAACAGUGAAAUACAAAUGACACCCAAAGCACAAAACAGCAGGAACACAUCCCCGUACCUCUCGCAUCAUGGUUUAGCCAGCAAUAGACAAAUAAAGAGCCCUGCACUUGUCACCCCGAACCCGGACGAGCUACUCACAGGCAAUCUUUAAAACUUAACGGAUGAACCCGUCUCUGUGGCAAAAGAGUGGGACGACCUUUGAGUAGAGGCGAAACGCCAACCGAGCCCGGAGAUAGCUGGUUGCUCAACAAAAUGAAUAAAAGUUCAACACCAGCCCAAAACCAACCGGCACAAACAUUUAAACCCACUUGUUCUUAGCUGGUAGAUAGUCAACAGGGGUACAGCCCUUUUGAAAUUGGACACAACCAACACUAGAGGACAACCCACAUCACACCCCACCCAGUUGGCCCUAAAGCAGCCACCAAAAAAUAUAGCGUCAAAGCAACACAACACAAGAAUCCCCCACCACACCAAAACCCCCUACACCAACAAACUGAGCCACUCUACUCAACAACACUAGAGGAAAAACUGCUAAAACUAGUAACUUAACACGAGACCACUCACCAAGGCACACACCUACAUACAAAUUAUUAUCGGACCAGUAAGCCACACUACACACACCUUACCUUACCACCCGUUACCCCAACCCAGGCGUGCCCUCCCCCAACGAGCAACAGUCAUAUAAGGAACUCGGCUAAGUCACCCCACCUGUUUACCAAAAACAUCGCCUUUAGCCACACAAGUAUUAAAGGUCCCGCCUGCCCAGUGAACCAGUUUCAACGGCCGCGGUAUUAUAACCGUGCAAAGGUAGCGUAAUCACUUGUCCUCUAAGUAGGGACCAGUAUGAACGGCUAAAUGAGGGUGAAACUGUCUUACACGACUACUCAGUGAAACUGAUCCCCUAGUACAAAAGCUAGAAUACCCACACAAGACGAGAAGACCCUGUGGAGCUUACAACCCCGCGCACUAAUAUCAGACACCAAAACCAACAGGCAACUAAAAGUCUACUAAUAGUCCACAGUUUAAGUUGGGGCAACUGCGGAGAACAAAAAACCCUCCGUGCAUCAGGGCACCAACCCCUAAAAGAGCCACACCCCAAAAAGAUUGAUAUAAUUGACCCAGUACCACUGACAACCGAACCAAGUUACCCCAGGGAUAACAGCGCCAUCCUCUCCAAGAGUCCAUAUCGACAAGAGGGUUUACGACCUCGAUGUUGGAUCAGGGCCCCCUAGUGGUGCAGCCGCUACUAAAGGUCCGUUUGUUCAACGGCUAACGCCCUACGUGAUCUGAGUUCAGACCGGAGAAAUCCAGGUCGGUUUCUAUCUGUGACUAAAUCUUCUUUAGUACGAAAGGACCAAGAAGACAGCGCCCCUGCCCCAAGCACGCACUGAACCAAAUCCUGAAACCAACUAAAACACCCAUACCCCAAACCAUGCCCCUAGACCAGGGGCAAACUUAC
rnacentral:rRNA from 1 species